GAGAAGAACGUAGCGAAAUGCGAUAAGUAAUGUGAAUUGCAGAAUUCAGUGAAUCAUCGAAUCUUUGAACGCAUCUUGCGCUCCUUGGUAUUCUGAGGAGCAUGCCUGUUUGAGUGUCAUUAAAUUCUCAACUACACUGACUUUGAAUUGGUGUGGCUUGGAUUUGGGGGGAAAAUUGUUGUGGGCUUUUUGUAUAGUCUGCUCCCCUGAAAUUGAUUAGCGGUACCUUUGUGGAACUGUCUACAGGUGUGAUAAUUAUCUACAUCUUAGACAUCUGCUGGAAUGCUGCUCUCUAAACCUUACUUGUAUUGACAAUCUUGACCUCAAAUCAGGUAGGACUACCCGCUGAACUUAAGCAUAUCAAUAAGCGGAGGA
rnacentral:misc_RNA from 1 species